rnacentral:rRNA from 1 species
UUGUCUCAAAGAUUAAGCCAUGCAUGUCUCAGUACAAGCCGCAUUAAGGUGAAACCGCGAAAGGCUCAUUAAAUCAGUUAUGGUUCCUUAGAUCGUACCCACGUUACUUGGAUAACUGUGGUAAUUCUAGAGCUAAUACAUGCAAACAGAGCUCCGACCGGAGACGGGAGGAGUGCUUUUAUUAGAUCAAAACCAAUCGGCGGCGGGCGCGUUCGCGCGUCCGUUCGCCGCUCUACCUGGUGACUCUGAAUAACUUUCCGCUGAUCGCACGGUCUCGCACCGGCGACGUAUCUUUCAAAUGUCUGCCUUAUCAACUGUCGAUGGUAGGUUCUGCGCCUACCAUGGUCGUAACGGGUAACGGGGAAUCAGGGUUCGAUUCCGGAGAGGGAGCCUGAGAAACGGCUACCACAUCCAAGGAAGGCAGCAGGCGCGCAAAUUACCCACUCCCGGCACGGGGAGGUAGUGACGAAAAAUAACGAUACGGGACUCAUCCGAGGCCCCGUAAUCGGAAUGAGUACACUUUAAAUCCUUUAACGAGGACCAAUUGGAGGGCAAGUCUGGUGCCAGCAGCCGCGGUAAUUCCAGC